rnacentral:rRNA from 1 species
GACGAACGCUGGCGGCGUGCUUAACACAUGCAAGUCGAACGGAAAGGCCCUGCUUUUGUUGGGUGCUCGAGUGGCGAACGGGUGAGUAACACGUGAGUAACCUGCCCUUUACUUUGGGAUAACUUCAGGAAACUUUGUCUAAUACCGGAUAGGAGCUCCUGCUGCAUGGUUGGUGUUGGAAAGUUUCGGCGGUUGGGGAUGGACUUGCGGCUUAUCAGCUUGUUGGUGGGUUAGUGGCUUACCAAGGCUUUUACGGGUAGCCGGCCUGAGAGGGUGACCGGCCACAUUGGGAAUGAGAUACGGCCCAGACUCCUACGGGAGGCAGCAGUGAGGAAUAUUGAACAAUGGGCGGAAGCAUGCUGCAGCAACGCAGCGUGCGGGAUGACGGCCUUCGGGUUGUAACCCGCUUUCGACUGUGACGAAGCGUGAGUGACGGUAAUGGGUAGAGAAGCACCGGCUAACUACGUG